UUUUUUUCCUCCCCUUGGUGGGCUGGCCUUUCCAGCGCUGUGGUCGACUAGCCUUUCAACUCUCUUGGGGAGGAGCCUUCCCCCUGCUCCAUCAGAAUGAGCAGGAAGGCAAAAAAAAAAACAGCCAAAAGCUUUUCAAAAACAGAAAAUAGAUAAACACGAUUUAUGACAACAGUUGUUAGGUGGAGAGAUAAGGACAACACCAAAGAACCAAACAAUGAACAAAAUCAAACAAGGGCUCCACCUCAAAUGGAGAAGGACAAACAAUGGUCCCUGUGUUGGAAAAAAAGAGAGGCCCAAUCUCUGGGUGCGGCUGCAGGGGGGCCUGAGGGAGAGGAAGUCAGGGAGCGGGCCCACCCGAACCACGGUGCAGUUCCUGACAAUGACUAAAUGGAGAGCAGCUGACAUGAAACACUACCACCACCACCUUUGCACAAAACGCUGGUGACAACGGGACAGCGGUGAGGUCCCAGGUCACUCACUAGGCCCAUUUCCCAGCCGGCCCCCCGCCCGGCACCAAAGGCCCACUAAAACAACAGCCCAGCUUCCCACUCCCACUACAAAGGCACCCGUGAAAGGACACCUGCUGCUGGUAUUCACCGAUGCCUCUUUAACUCGGCCCUCUGUUUGUUUAAAAGCCACAUCCUAAAGACAGGGCCCUAAGACACUGCU